UGUGGCUCAGUGGCACAGCAUCUGCCUGGUAAGCACAAGGCCCUGAGUUUGAAUCCCAGUA
rnacentral:tRNA from 1 species